rnacentral:sRNA from 1 species
GAAGUUCAUACAUGCUAUUAUCUGCAAAAUAUUUUUAAUUAGUACAGUAUUUACCUUUAAGGGACUGAACAAGGACGGCAAUCACUAACCUAAAGGUGAUAAAACAUACUUGGAAAUAAAGUUAUUUGACUUAUAUACCUUCACUUUCAAAAGUCCAGAGCAAGAGCAUCCAAAAAUGUGAUUUCAUAAACUAAUUUCUGUUGAUGGAUCUUGUAGCUUUUGUGGGUACACAAAGUAGGAUGAGUCUUCUUGGUUACAUUGGAGGAAAAAGGUAUUUACUACCAGGGAGUACCCAAUUCUUCUUGAGAACACCAACCUACAGCUUGAAGUACAAUUCACCUGGAAUGACUCGCUCCAAUGUUUUGUUUACAUCCAGAUAUGGCCAUUUGUGAAACAGAAGGGAAGAUCACCAUUGGUUAUACAUAACAGCAAUUCAUUUUUUUCCCCUAAAGUUGAACAUGCAAAGAACAUGACCAUUAAGUGCUGUUUUAUGUAUAUAAGACAUAUAUAUGUGUGAAAAUAUAUGCACAUAUGCACCCAAAUAACAUAUAUUUAUUAUAUUAAAUAAUAUAUGAAAGAAGAAUUAGCAGAAAAUGGAAUAUAAGACUUAACCUUUCUGGAAAUGUAAUAAACCAUGUUAAAAUUGUUUACACAAA